AGGGGUAUAGCUCAGUUGGUAGAGUGCUUGCCUCCCAUGCACAAGGCCCUGGGUUCAAUCCCCAGCACCACAA
rnacentral:tRNA from 1 species